rnacentral:rRNA from 1 species
UGCGUAGGGUGCAAGCGUUGUCCGGAAUUAUUGGGCGUAAAGAGCUCGUAGGCGGUCUGUCGCGUCGGCUGUGAAAUCCCGGAGCUCAACUCCGGGUCUGCAGUCGAUACGGGCAAACUGGAGUACUGCAGGGGAGACUGGAAUUCCUGGUGUAGCGGUGAAAUGCGCAGAUAUCAGGAGGAACACCGGUGGCGAAGGCGGGUCUCUGGGCAGUAACUGACACUGAGAGACGAAAGCUAGGGGAGCGAACAGG